rnacentral:rRNA from 1 species
UACGUAGGGUGCAAGCGUUGUCCGGAAUUAUUGGGCGUAAAGAGCUCGUAGGCGGUUUGUCGCGUCUGCCGUGAAAGUCCGGGGCUCAACUCCGGAUCUGCGGUGGGUACGGGCAGACUAGAGUGAUGUAGGGGAGACUGGAAUUCCUGGUGUAGCGGUGAAAUGCGCAGAUAUCAGGAGGAACACCGAUGGCGAAGGCAGGUCUCUGGGCAUUAACUGACGCUGGAGGAGCGAAAGCAUGGGGAGCGAACAGG